GGGAGCGGCAGACGGGUGAGUAACGCGUGGGAAUCUACCCUUUUCUACGGAAUAACGCAGGGAAACUUGUGCUAAUACCGUAUGUGUCCUUCGGGAGAAAGAUUUAUCGGGAAAGGAUGAGCCCGCGUUGGAUUAGCUAGUUGGUGGGGUAAAGGCCUACCAAGGCGACGAUCCAUAGCUGGUCUGAGAGGAUGAUCAGCCACAUUGGGACUGAGACACGGCCCAAACUCCUACGGGAGGCAGCAGUGGGGAAUAUUGGACAAUGGGCGCAAGCCUGAUCCARCCAUGCCGCGUGAGUGAUGAAUGCCCUAGGGUUGUAAAGCUCUUUCACCGGAGAAGAUAAUGACGGUAUCCGGAGAAKAAGCCCCGGCUAACUUCGUGCCAGCARCCGCGGUAAUACGAAGGGGGCUAGCGUUGUUCGGAAUUACUGGGCGUAAAGCGCACGUAGGCGGAUCGAUCAGUCAGGGGUGAAAUCCCAGGGCUCAACCCUGGAACUGCCUUUGAUACUGUCGAUCUGGAGUAUGGAAGAGGUGAGUGGAAUUCCGAGUGUAGAGGUGAAAUUCGUAGAUAUUCGGAGGAACACCAGUGGCGAAGGCGGCUCACUGGUCCAUUACUGACGCUGAGGUGCGAAAGCGUGGGGAUCAAACAGGAUUAGAUACCCUGGUAGUCCACGCCCUAAACGAUGAACACUCGCUGUUGGCGAUACACAGUCAGCGGCUAAGCGAAAGCGUUAA
rnacentral:rRNA from 1 species